rnacentral:rRNA from 1 species
AGGGCCGCAGUAAUUUGACUGUGCGAAGGUAGCAUAAUCAUUAGUCUUUUAAUUGGAGGCUUGUAUGAAUGGUUGGAUGAGGGAUGAACUGUCUUGCGUGUAUUGUUUGAAUUUAACUUUUAAGUGAAAAGGCUUAGAUUAUUUAGGGGGACGAUAAGACCCUAUAAAACUUAAUAUUGAUGUUUAUAAAUUAUGGAUAAAGUUUAAAAUGAUUUUUGGGUUUUAAUAUUUCAUUGGGGCGAUGAAGAUAUAACAAUUAACUGUUUUGUAAAUUAAAUAAUAAUUAUUAGAUAAUGAUCCUGUAUUAUGGAUUAUAAGAUCAAGUUACUUUAGGGAUAACAGCGUAAUUUUCUUUGAGAGUUCUUAUCGACAAGAGUAGUUGCGACCUCGAUGUUGAAUUAAAAUUUCAGCUGGGUGAAGCAGCUCAGCUAGUAGGUCUGUUCGACCUUUAAAAUUUUA